rnacentral:rRNA from 1 species
ACGGAAGGCAGCAGUGGGGAAUAUUGCACAAUGGGCGCAAGCCUGAUGCAGCGACGCCGCGUGAGCGAAGAAGUAUUUCGGUAUGUAAAGCUCUAUCAGCAGGGAAGAUAAUGACGGUACCUGACUAAGAAGCACCGGCUAAAUACGUGCCAGCAGCCGCGGUAAUACGUAUGGUGCAAGCGUUAUCCGGAUUUACUGGGUGUAAAGGGAGCGUAGGCGGUUUAAUAAGUCUGAUGUGAAAGCCCGGGGCUCAACUCCGGUAUUGCAUUGGAAACUGUUAAACUUGAGUGUCGGAGGGGUAAGCGGAAUUCCUAGUGUAGCGGUGAAAUGCGUAGAUAUUAGGAGGAACACCAGUGGCGAAGGCGGCUUACUGGACGAUUACUGACGCUGAGGCUCGAAAGCGUGGGGAGCAAACAGGAUUAGAUACCCUGGUA